rnacentral:snRNA from 1 species
GUGCUUGCUUCAGCAGCACAUAUACUAAAAUUGGAACAGUCCAUGGAAAAUUAGCAUGACCCCUGCACAAGGAUGAUAUGCAAAUUCAUGAAGCGUUCCAUAUUAAA